rnacentral:rRNA from 1 species
UACGGAGGGUGCAAGCGUUAUCCGGAUUCACUGGGUUUAAAGGGUGCGUAGGUGGGUUGGUAAGUCAGUGGUGAAAUCUCCAGGCUUAACUUGGAAACUGCCAUUGAUACUAUCAAUCUUGAAUACCGUGGAGGUCAGCGGAAUAUGUCAUGUAGCGGUGAAAUGCUUAGAUAUGACAUAGAACACCAAUUGCGAAGGCAGCUGGCUACACGAAUAUUGACACUGAGGCUCGAAAGCGUGGGGAUCAAACAGG